rnacentral:rRNA from 1 species
CAGUUGUACCUGCGGACAAUCAGCUUUUUGAGUGUGAUUAUGUGGAUUGUGAGGAGUUUAACCGCCUUCAUGUAUUGCAUAUUUGUGCUCUUGGGUGUACUUGUCUGUGUGGUAGGUUAACAUCAAUUUCGGUCGUCAUAAAAUGAUUGGAGGAAUGUAGCUUUGGUCUCGUAUCGAAGUGUUAUAGACUCUGGUAGAUGUGACGAUUGGGGAUUGGAGGUAUUGCUAGCGGAUACCCUUCGGGGCUACUCGUCUGAUCUCUGAAGGUUGC